GAUGAACGCUAGCGGCAGGCUUAACACAUGCAAGUCGAGGGGUAACAGAAGGAAGCUUGCUUUCUUGCUGACGACCGGCGCACGGGUGCGUAACGCGUAUAGAACCUACCUUUUACAGGGGAAUAGCCCAGAGAAAUUUGGAUUAAUGCCCCAUAGUAUUGUUGAAUGGCAUCAUUUAAUAAUUAAACAUUUAUGGGUAAAAGAUGGCUAUGCGUUCUAUUAGCUAGAUGGUAAGGUAACGGCUUACCAUGGCGACGAUAGAUAGGGGUCCUGAGAGGGAGAUCCCCACACUGGUACUGAGACACGGACCAGACUCCUACGGGAGGCAGCAGUGAGGAAUAUUGGGCAAUGGAGGCAACCCUGACCCAGCCAUGCCGCGUGCAGGAAGACGGCCCUAUGGGUUGUAAAGCACUUUCAAUUGGGAGGAAAGGUUGCAGGUUAAUAGCGUGCAACUGUGACGUUACCUUUAGAAGAAGCACCGGCUAACUCCGUG
rnacentral:rRNA from 1 species